UACGUAGGGUGCAAGCGUUGUCCGGAAUUAUUGGGCGUAAAGAGCUCGUAGGCGGCUAGUCGCGUCGGCUGUGAAAACCUGGGGCUCAACCCCGGGCCUGCAGACGAUACGGGCUAGCUAGAAUUCGGUAGGGGAGACUGGAAUUCCUGGUGUAGCGGUGAAAUGCGCAGAUAUCAGGAGGAACACCGGUGGCGAAGGCGGGUCUCUGGGCCGUUACUGACGCUGAGGAGCGAAAGCGUGGGGAGCGAACAGG
rnacentral:rRNA from 1 species